UUGAUGUCUUCUUGUUUCAGAUAAACUGCAUGUUUAUGGUGGAAUCAGGGCUGUUUCAAAGAAUUGAUUCAAUGAAUAAAUUGGUUCAUGGAUUUGGUUCCUAGAUGCAGAGAGUGUCUCCCAGAUCAGUGGUUCUGUGAAACCUGCGAUACCAAGAAUCACAGGAGAUGGCCACUCCAUAAUAGGGAGUCAGUCCUUGAGAGCUUUUUUAAAGCUAUUCCCCCAUCCACAUAUUUUGUAAGAGGGGAGGGAGGAUACAGCUCACACGACCAAGCUUGUAUUUUGCCAACGGUGAGAGUGACUCAAAAAUGUCCCUGUGAAGUCCCCAGCAUAACUGUGUCACCUGGCAAAGCGGUCAUUUUAAUUUCCACCAAUGGGCGUUAUGACAUGCACCAGCUAUUGUUUGCAUGCCAAACAUGCCAGCAGCAGUGGGCUCCAGAGUUCAUGGACCUUGUAAACAGUGGAUACUGGCCAGCUUCCACCAGCUCUUCUACUUUGUAUUCCCUCAAUCUUUUCAGCAGUGUAAGAGAACUGAAAAUCAUCGCACCGGCACUGUCCAGACAAGCCUUUGCAAAGCUGCUAGAGCAUCGUACAAAGUGUGGUGGGCGGGUAAGUGUUCAGCAUAUUAUAGAAUUGUUUACCAUAUGUAGACAUCUCCAAAGUAACAUUUAAUAUAAUAAUCUUUCAGUCAGGACCAGUCUGCUGGGACACGCUGCAGCGCAGCUUCCUGGAGUUUUCCUAUUGUGCUUUUGAGGA
ensembl:lncRNA